rnacentral:misc_RNA from 1 species
AAGUCGUAACAAGGUUUCCGUAGGUGAACCUGCGGAAGGAUCAUUAACAAUUCCAAAACAACACUCGUCUUCUCUACUUUUUCCCAUUUCUCCUUUUUGAUGAAAAGGUUUCCGAACUUUUUCAAGGGGGAAGAAGGGGUGGGUGAAAGUAGGGUCAUGACAAAAUCUUUCUAUACGAACAUUUUGAUUGACAAAAAAGGGUUACCAUUUGGUAAAGUAGUAAUAUGUUAAUAAUUACAAACAACUUUUAACAAUGGAUCUCUUGGCUCUU